GGGGCACUAUGUGGCAAGAGGACAGUACAUUCGAUCAUGGCAGUAAUUGCAUGAGCACUGCUGGCAGUAACUCAUGCUGUCAUAAUGGAAAGGAAGCAGCACCUAAUGCACUAUAAAACCACAUAUAGAGCCACGUUAUGAAGACACUUCCCAGCAAUCUCUGCUGAGGUCUUCAUGGUUACAUGCAGAUGGGGAUCCAGCUGCUGCGGGACGCUAGCUGAAUGAACAGUAAGUGCUUCAUCUAAGCGACUGCUCAAGCGAAAUGAGAUGCUUCAGAGUCUUUCCUGGAGGCCGCUGACUGUAUGCAGUUCUCUCACACUCCCUCCCACAACACCAAAUGAAAAAUGAGACUCCUCUCUGCUUGUUACCUUCCAGGACGAGAGGACAAUUACUCUAUUAGGACAAAAUGUGCAUGGAAUCAGAUCUGCAAUGUUUUAAGGUUCAGAUGGGAAGCACCCUGAGGGAGUGUGUGGCCUCUUUUAAAUGCCAGAUGUGUCAUUCAGAGUCUGUGUGUCAUAUUGAUAACAAGGACACGCUCCAAGGCCUGCACUGGGUGACGACACAGAGAACAGCAAUGCUGAGGUCAGUGCCAGUGCAGAUGAAAUUUCAGGGCCAAAUAAACCAGCCUCUCCGUAUCAACACUAGAUUAUCACUACGAGGGAUCUGCUAAUCAAAAUAUGGUAUUUCCAGUCUUUGGCACAGCGCAUCACAGAUUUAAUAUUAGCAACUGUCAAACACAAACUGAUAAGGUCAUAGUUAUCAAAUUGUUUAUCAUGUUAUCGUGUUGCAGAUAUGGCUCAACAUAAAUUCUAAACAUUCAGUGAUUUAGUAAAUAAGAAAUGGUAAAAUAGCAACAUCUAACGGCACACAUUUUAUCAUCCAAUUAAAAUAAUUUGUUAGUGACAUACAGCAUAAAUAAACAAUAAAACAAAAAAUACUUCAUAAUUUAGUUAAGGAUUAAUAUUUUAACUUAACCUAUUAAUAAUUUAUUUUACACUAUUUUUAUAUAAUGGCUACAAACAAUACUAAUAUAUAUAUAAAAUACAUAUAUGUAUUUUAAUUUAAGAAUUUCUGUAUGUAAUUUGUUCACUUCAAUGCAUUAUGUUUUUAUCAGCAUUAUAUCCGCCACUAGCUCCACUAGCUAAGUGACAUAAACUUCUUAAUGCACACAAAGUGAGCAAGCUUUCAGCCUGCUUCCAUUAAAAAGCCAUUCUAAUCAAAAAAUGCAUUAUGCAUUAUAUAAUGCAUUAUGAAUUCACAACGCUUCACUCACAGUCAUUAUAGAGCUGCACAAUAACAUUCACAUAAUAUAUGCAUAUUUAAAUCUAUAAGACAGUACACAUAAGACAAUAAUUAAAGUAUAAAAGUUAAUAACAUGACAAAAAUAGUCGCCACAUACAAAUGUUUGU
rnacentral:lncRNA from 1 species